ACGGGAGGCAGCAGUGGGGGAUAUUGGACAAUGGAGGAAACUCUGAUCCAGCGACGCCGCGUGAGUGAAGAAGUAUUUCGGUAUGUAAAGCUCUAUCAGCAGGGAAGAGAUUGACGGUACCUGACUAAGAAGCCCCGGCUAACUACGUGCCAGCAGCCGCGGUAAUACGUAGGGGGCAAGCGUUAUCCGGAUUUACUGGGUGUAAAGGGAGCGUAGACGGCUUUGUAAGUCUGAUGUGAAAGGCAGGGGCUCAACUCCUGGACUGCAUUGGAAACUACAGGGCUUGAGUGCCGGAGAGGUAAGCGGAAUUCCUAGUGUAGCGGUGAAAUGCGUAGAUAUUAGGAGGAACACCAGUGGCGAAGGCGGCUUACUGGACGGUAACUGACGUUGAGGCUCGAAAGCGUGGGGAGCAAACAGGAUUAGAUACCCUGGUA
rnacentral:rRNA from 1 species